AGACACUUAAAUGACUAAGGAGGCUCAAUUUGUUGGUUGUUUUUUUCACUUGAAAAAUAUAUUUAAGUUAAAUGAAUAGAUAUUAAUUAUGGACUUACGAAAGUAAAGGAGCCGUGAAGAACACUGUGGCGCGUCAGGGACACGCAUGGGCUCAGGGACUGGCUGGUCCUUCCAGGUCCGCUUUCUUGGGCAGCUCUGAGUGUGGUCACAUGCCAAGCCAUCGAGCACCCCCUAACUGGAGUUGCGGUGACUAUGGUGAGCCUCAGACGACAUGCAGUGAACAUUCUGAGAUGGAUGGCAAGUAGAUUUAAAGAUUCACAUUUGGAGAGAUUCUCAACAGAUUCAUUCCCUGCCUUUCAUUUCAGUGGACGCUAAAACUUCUUAAUAGCUUUAGUAUAGUGUGUUUAGCAGAAAUAUCAGUGACAUCUCAGUGACUAAAAGGAGUGGACCAAGGUACCACUGAUCUAGGAUUUUUAAUUUGCUGACUUAGUGACUGAAAAAGAUCAGCAAACGGUCCCCUCAAUCAAUUGUUAUUGAAUGGAUUAUGCAAACAUAAAAAGGAAAAAUUCUGAAUUAUUAGUUGGUUUUGCAACAGUUUUGUCAUGUGUACAGACACAGCCCUUUAAUAUUUAAUAUAAAGAGAAUAUUGCCUUGUCCAGCAUAUCCUCAAAUCUUUAUGUCACCUGGGCUUACAGAUUCCAGGAUAAGCAAUUCCCCACCCCAACCACCACCGCCCCUGACUAAUGGAUAAGUUACUCAGCUGCACCCUUUGACGUGUUCUGAUGGGACUCAAAGGCCUUCAGAAGAACUGCCAGAAGACCAUCAGUGAAAUUACGGUGCUCACCCCCUCAGCCUUCCUCACCACAAAACACCACCUUCCAACAGAAAGAAUCGCUGUCACGGGGUGGAGGAUAAAAAGGAUGAAGAAUGUUGCUAAGAGAAAGCCGCAAGGCUCCUGUAUGGUGUUUCUGGGAUGACACAAGAGGCUCUAACAAGACACCUUUUAUCAGCCUGAAGAAGAGGGGGCAUUUAUCAUGACAGACUAAUUACUCACUUUGAGUUAGUGUUAUAUCUGUGUAUGUACCCAAUGUGGCUAUAUAGUAACGAGAGGUUUUUAAACAAAUAAUCCAUACCUUACAUGUCCACAUAAAUGCUCCACAGUAGUUAGUCACCUUAAAUUUAAAUGCUGAUUUCGGUGUGUCCGACCGCCCCCCUACCUCCUCAUUGCUCACAGCAUUUCAGGUACAUCCCUUUUGAAAUUACCUUCACAGCUUGCAAUAUAUUCUUUUGAAUAUCCUUAAUGGUGACAAUGGUUCACCAGUUACAGUGUCAUAUUUUUGGUUUUGUUUUAAGUCAAAAAUCAUUUUGAGCUAAAUCCAUGAUGAAGGAUUAAAUUGGGUAAAAAUAAUUGAAAAUGCCAACUAAAUGCCAGUCACUAAGCUAAGUGUAUUUUAUAAAUCAUCUCACCUAAUUUAAUUCCCACCAGAAACCUAUAGAGUGGAUCUUAGUGUCCCAUUUAAUGCUUCUUUAAUAAUAAUAAAAUAUGUACAUAUUCAUUGAAAAAAGUUUGG
rnacentral:lncRNA from 1 species